GGUCCUGUGGUCUAGUGGUAUGAUUCUCGCUUUGGGUUCCCUCCAAACCUAAAAUUAGCCUGCGAGAGGCCCCGCGUUCGAAUCGCGGCAGGACCC